rnacentral:misc_RNA from 1 species
UCCGGUUUGGCACCGGCAGUCUCCCUAGAGGCCCCGCCAUUACGCGCUGGCAACUAAGGACAGGGGUUGCGCUCGUUGCGGGACUUAACCCAACAUCUCACGACACGAGCUGACGGCAACCAUGCAGCAUCUGUGCACGCUCCCUUGCGGGUCAUCCCGGUUUCCCGGUUUUACCACGUGCAUGUCAAGCCCAGGUAAGGUUCUUCGCGUUGCGUCGAAUUAAACCACAUGCUCCACCGCUUGUGCGGGCCCCCGUCAAUUCCUUUGAGUUUCAGUCUUGCGACCGUACUCCCCAGGCGGAGUGCUUAAUGUGUUGACUUCGGCACAGCAGGGGUCGAUACCCGCUACACCAAGCACUCAUCGUUUACGGCGUGGACUAC